rnacentral:rRNA from 1 species
UGGGGAAUAUUGCACAAUGGGCGCAAGCCUGAUGCAGCCAUGCCGCGUGUAUGAAGAAGGCCUUCGGGUUGUAAAGUACUUUCAGUCGGGAGGAAGGUGUCAAGGUUAAUAACCUUGGCAAUUGACGUUACCGACAGAAGAAGCACCGGCUAACUCCGUGCCAGCAGCCGCGGUAAUACGGAGGGUGCAAGCGUUAAUCGGAAUUACUGGGCGUAAAGCGCACGCAGGCGGUUUGUUAAGUCAGAUGUGAAAUCCCCGGGCUCAACCUGGGAACUGCAUCUGAUACUGGCAAGCUUGAGUCUCGUAGAGGGUGGUAGAAUUCCAGGUGUAGCGGUGAAAUGCGUAGAGAUCUGGAGGAAUACCGGUGGCGAAGGCGGCCCCCUGGACGAAGACUGACGCUCAGGUGCGAAAGCGUGGGGAGCAAACAGG